UGUACCAGGGAUCAGGGCUGCACCCAACAGUGGGCAGGUUUUAGUUGGAAGAAUGGAUGGCGCACAAAGGGAGUGGUUUAUUAAAGGAAACCCACCCAGAUGGACACGUGGACAUCAGAACUAUUUAAAAUUAGUGUCAGGAUUCCACCAUUCCUGGGCACAUUCCUCCCUCCUUGGAGUCAAGUUUCCUCGUGCAGGGUCCACCUGAGUCUCACUCUGUCUCCCUGUUGUGUUUGCACAGGGCAAACCCUCCUAAACCUGCUGGCUCAGAAAACCCAAGAGGUUAUUAUGUUGUGUCUUUUUGGACACUGGUGGGGGUACUCAUUACUGAAUAAAUUCCCUUCUAAACAAAUACUCCAUCCCUAGCAGGCAGAAGGAUAUAAACAUUUGGCAGAUCAG
rnacentral:lncRNA from 1 species